CAAAGAAGAGAAGGAGACAGAGUUCAAGGGUCAUUGAAGUCUCUGGGGAGAAGGUUGUGUUGGUUUGAAAAGAAUGAUAAUGGCAACAGAAAGUGAUUGGCAGAAUUCCUUCAAUAGCUUCAGAGAAGGAAAUAAUCUUGGGUGUGGCUACAGAGAACCCCAGACUUAGAGGGCUUGGGUUUAGCAAGAGGAAUAUCAAAGAAGGCAUUUUGAGAAGAUGGCACUGUCAGUAAAAGAUUUGAGUUUAGAUCCCUAGCUCCCAUAUAAAGUCUGGGUGUGAUGGCGUCAUAUCUGCAAGCCCAGAACUUCCGAGAUGGAGACAGGUGGAUCCCAGGAGCUAACUGCCGAGCCCAUUUAGAUGAAUCAGUAAACUUGGGUUCAGAGACGGUAUCUCAAAAAAUAAAGUGGAGAGUGACCAAGGAAGAUACUGAUAUUGAAUGCUUGCAUCUAUGCCAGAACAUAGACAAGCAUGUACACCUGCAUGCAAGUGCACACACACAAGAACACUUUCACAUACUUACAGAGUGUAACGUUCAUGCUCACCAUUCAUAGCUUCUUCUCCCUGCUGGACAUAAAGCAGAGCAAAGGGAGAGACAGUGGGAGCAGAAAAAUGCCCUGAACAAUCCAGAGAGGACUGAUGAUAUUAAAUCCAGUUAUGACUUCAGAACAAAGCAAUGAGAAUCAUCUUAGAAGCAGAUACAUUAGCAAUGAUGAGGGGAUGUGGGG